rnacentral:rRNA from 1 species
UACAGAGGGUGCGAGCGUUGUUCGGAAUUAUUGGGCGUAAAGGGCGCGUAGGCGGUGCGGUAAGUCACCUGUGAAAUCUCCUGGCUCAACUGGGAGCUUGCAGGCGAAACUGCCGUGCUGGAGUGUGGGAGAGGUGCGUGGAAUUCCCGGUGUAGCGGUGAAAUGCGUAGAUAUCAAGUGGAACACCAGUGGCGAAGGCGAGUCUCUGGACAUUUCCUGACGCUGAGGCACGAAAGCCAGGGGAGCAAACGGG